AUUGAACGCUGGCGGCACGCUUAACACAUGCAAGUCGAGCGGUAGCAUGAGUAGUAGCAAUACUACUUGAUGACGAGCGGCGGACGGGUGAGUAACACGUAGGAACUUGCCCAAUAGAGGGGGACAACCAAGGGAAACUUUGGCUAAUACCGCAUAUACUCGAGAGAGGAAAGCUGCCGCAAGGUGGCGCUAUUGGAGAGGCUUGCGUCUGAUUAGCUAGUUGGUGAGGUAAAGGCUCACCAAGGCGAUGAUCAGUAACUGGUCUGAGAGGACGACCAGUCACACUGGGACUGAGACACGGCCCAGACUCCUACGGGAGGCAGCAGUGGGGAAUCUUGGACAAUGGGGGCAACCCUGAUCCAGCGAUGCCGCGUGAGUGAAGAAGGCCUUCGGGUCGUAAAGCUCUUUAGGUCGGGAGGAAGGUUAGUAUUUUAAGAGAUAACUAAUUUGACUGUACCGACAGAAUAAGCACCGGCAAACUCUGUGCCAGCCGCCGCAGUAA
rnacentral:rRNA from 1 species